rnacentral:rRNA from 1 species
GGAUGAGCCCGCGGCCUAUCAGCUUGUUGGUGAGGUAAUGGCUCACCAAGGCGACGACGGGUAGCCGGCCUGAGAGGGUGACCGGCCACACUGGGACUGAGACACGGCCCAGACUCCUACGGGAGGCAGCAGUGGGGAAUAUUGCACAAUGGGCGAAAGCCUGAUGCAGCAACGCCGCGUGAGGGAUGACGGCCUUCGGGUUGUAAACCUCUUUUAGUAGGGAAGAAGCGAAAGUGACGGUAUGUGCAGAAGAAGCACCGGCCAACUACGUGCCAGCAGCCGCGGUAAUACGUAGGGUGCGAGCGUUGUCCGGAAUUAUUGGGCGUAAAGGGCUCGUAAGCGGUUUGUUGCGUCAGGAGUGAAAACUCGGGGCUUAACCCCGAGCCUGCUUCUGAUACGGACAGACUUGAGGUAUGCAGGGGAGAACGGAAUUCCUGGUGUAGCGGUGAAAUGCGCAGAUAUCAGGAGGAACACCGGUGGCGAAGGCGGUUCUCUGGGCAUUACCUGACGCUGAGAGCGAAAGUGGUGGGGAGCGAACAGGAUU